rnacentral:rRNA from 1 species
ACUGCGGAGGACAUUCAUGUUUUAUAUUAUUCUAAGUCGUUUUUUAUUAAACGUCUUCAGUAUANNNNNNUUUUUGCGGUCAACUUCCUUCUCCUUUGUGAGAUUGUAUUUUUUCUAGGGUGAAUCUUUUGUCUUUGUGCAUUGCAUGAAGUCAAGAGUUUUAUCUACAUGUAACAUAACCAUUUUUGAGAACAGAAAAGAAAAUUAAGUUUUUCUUUAUUAUUGACAUACAACCCGUGGCGGGGGAUGUCUCGGCUUCCACAUCGAUGAAGAACGUAGCAAAAUGCGAUAUGUAAUGCGAUUUGCAGAACUCGUGAGUCAUCGAAUUUUUGAACGCAAGUGGCGCUCGCGGGAAAUCCUGCGAGCACGUCUGUUUGAGUGUCCGUACAAAAACUAAAACACAUGUUUUUUUGACUAUUGUUUCCCUUUGACGACUUGAGAGAGAGAGUAUAUUUAUAUAUUCUUCUUCUCUUGUUGCCAGUGUUGAGUGCUUCCGUUCAUAAUUUCCUUUUUGAGGUAAAUAUAGGAUGGUCACUUUAAGUUGAGAGGUUGCUGGUCGUUCCACUUUAUUGUGUCGAGCGGUAACCAUUGUUUUGACGUAUUAGUCUUUUGCAUAGACCUGUAUCAUGUUUUUUGUUUUGAGACUCUUUUCUUUUGGGUUUUGACUCUGGUGGAUACAUUUAUUUGUGUUUGUCUAGGAUUUGAUUCUGUGUCCUUUCAGUCGAGGCGUAAUGGUUGUGAAAUGAUGAAUCCAAUUCUUUUUACUAGCAACUAUUCUGACUCUUGGAGGUUGAUCAGCUUAUCUGAAAAGUUGAAGUCGUGUGAGGGAAGAGACUUGAUGAAAAAUGAGAAUGGGGUCGCGCUUAACACUAUCUAUCUAUCUAGGUAGGUAGGNNNNNNNNNNCAAUUGCUCUAGACUGUCGAGACGAAAUUAUGUUUUUGGAUCUCAAAUCAGGCGAGA